rnacentral:lncRNA from 1 species
ACUUCCUCAGGAUGGUAGUACACUCGGGGGACGAUUUGGACCAUGACACAGAAAUCUUUGGAUUGGUUGAAGACUGAGGUGGAAACACAGGGGGUUAACCCAGUAUUGCAUGCCCACCACCUGUUAUAACCAGGUACUAAAUACUGAUUUUCUGAGGCCUGCUCAUAAACCACAGUACUAUAGCAAAGGUGUUGGUGGGAUGGGGGAGCUUUUCCUAUGCAUGUCCCCUUCCCGGAAACUUCAGUGAGGGUAAGCUUAUUUCGGGACCCCCAUGUACAUUGAUUUCUAUGCUCUUUGGUCACAUUGAAUUUUCCUUCUUUAGCCAUCCCCUCAUAAUAAGGAGGCCCUGAGGAUAGACAAAGCCAACAAGAAGAAGUGGCAUCAGGGUCGGUGGAGUUGAUGGCUUGGAAAGCUCCCUGGAUGAGACUGAAGAGUCUCUGUCCUGUCUUAACAGGAACACCUGGGGAGUUUCUAGGCGUGUUGGUAGGAAUCAAUCCAGUGGUACCGUUGCUAGGCGGCUGUGUUAUGUCAGGCCGCAGCGAGGUUAAUUGGGGCACCGGCAAGUUAUGCGGUGGCUCCAGGGCCGGGGGCCCCUGUUCAGCCAGUACUUUAUCGGGUCCCACUGCCACAGGGGGUUCUGUCCCCGUCUCUAUCCUAAGGCGAAUGGUUAAAGUGGACCCUGCUCCCCCGCCAUAUUUAUAAAAAACUAUUCCCCAGCUCAUACCAUUUAUCCACUUUUGAAUAUUUUCCUGUUUUCCUUUUUCAGUGAAACUUAUCUUUAGAUAAUCUAAGUCUGAUGGGGAGCAGCUCUUAUCUUUAUAUAGUUUCAUCACUUUGUACUUGCCCGGGCCGGAAUUGACAAAGGAGAAUUUUACCCGGUCCUGGAGAGAGAUCGGCCAUUUCCAGUCUCCAUCGUUGGAGGUGACGCAGCUCCAUCUCCUACAGAAGGAUUCCCCAGAACCCCCACAGUAUUUCUCUUUCUCUGUGCCUGGGCAGCAAUAGAACCCAUAACUACGGACUAGGUUGGGAGGUGUGCUUUUAACAGCGGGGUUAAUCAAUCGGAGGCAGAAAUGCAGUUCAGGCCACCAGGUGCCUCUAGGAGCAACACCUCGAGUGCUAUUUACAGUGACACCCGUAUCAGGGUCAAUAAUCAGCCAGGUAAGGGAUAAAGGUCUAUGGGGGUUCGAGCUGUCUAUAAGGCGUUUACUACUGGCCUGGGGAGUUAUUGUUAGAGUAAGGAACCAGGCGAUGGAGGCGAAGCUUAAGGGGAUUCUCAGUCUUUUCGGCUCUCCACCCCGAGUCGGGAGGUGGCGCCAGCUUAACGUGGGAUGCAUGGAUCCAGGUGGAGAUUCCUUCGACUUUCACAGCCGUUGGUGUGGUCAAAAGUACGAGAUAAGGGCCCUUCCACCGAGUCUCGAGGUUUCCUGCACGGUGGCGUCUAACAUAGACUGAAUCUCCCACUUGGAAGCGAUGUGGAACUUGCAAGUCUCCUUCUCCUGAGUAGGCCUCCCGGAGCUGCUUCCACGCUCGUUGCCUCACCCACUCGAGCGCCUUGAGCCUAGAGAACAAAGGCUGGGAAAGCAGCACAUCAGCACUAUGUACAGAAGCAAUUUCUACCAACGGGGGGGGUCCCCCGUAGAGCAAUUCAUAGGGGGUCAGCCCAAACUGUCCAGGGGUGUUCCUAACCCUAAAAAGCACAAAGGGCAGGAGAGCUAUCCAAUCAUUAAUGCCAGUCUCUGUGGUCAAUUUGGUGAGGGUCUCUUUAAUGGUUCUAUUCAUCCUCUCUACCUGUCCUGAGCUUUGGGGUCUGUAUGCACAAUGCAAUUUCCAAUCAAUCCCCAAUGUCUUGGCCAGUCCCUGACUUACCUGGGCAACAAAAGCUGGACCAUUGUCUGACCCUAUUACUUUAGGUAUUCCAAAUCUUGGAAAAAUUUCCUCCAAUAUUUUCUUAGCCACCACGGUUGAAGUCUCCUUCUUAGUAGGAUAAGCCUCUACCCAUCCUGAAAAGGUGUCUACAAAAACCAAUAGAUAUUUGUUUCCGUAUUUAGCUGGCUCUACCUCAGUGAAGUCCACUUCCCAGUGAGCGCCUGGGUGGCUUCCCCUUAGUCUCUUUCCCGGAGGCAUUCUGGAAGGAUUAGCAUUAACCAGCUGGCAAGGCACACAAUGUUUGACCACUCCCGGGUAGUCAGCCACUCCCGGUAGUCUCAGAACAUGAUAAGGGGAUGUUCUGACCAACUGUUGCAGAUGUUUAGCUCCUAGGUGGGUUAGACGAUGCAUCUGUUGGACAUACUCUAACCCUUCUUUGUGGGGUAGGAUCUCCUUCCCAUCUGAGGUAUAGCAGGUCCCCUCUGGGAUCCUAGAAAACCGGUCUAUCUUCUUUUAUCUCCUGCCAGUCUUCUAAGGUGUACUGCCGUCCAGGUUCUGGGGCUUUGGACGUUUCUAUUAUAGGCAGAAGGUUAACACCCCGGGCUGCCUGCUUGGCGACCUGGUCGGCCAUCUGGUUUCGAGAUGAGAUCUUUGGCUUUCUGAUGCCCAAGGCAAUGUAUAAUGGCUGGCCUUUUUGGCAAAUGUAAGGCCUCCAACAAGCUUAGAAUUUCUUCUUUGUUCUUGAAUUCCCUCCCUGCUGAAGUAAGCAACCCCCUUUGUUUAUAGAUGGCCCCGUGCACAUGCGCAGUCGCCAAGGCAUACCUGCUGUACGUAUAAAUGUUUAUGGAUUUCCCUUCGGCCAGCCGCAAAGCUUGCGUGAGGGCCACGAGCUCAGCCUUUUGUGCUGAAGUCCCUUCCGGCAGGCUGCUGGCCCAGAUCGUGCGGGUCCCGUCCACCACCGCCGCCCCACCCUCUUACCUUCCACUACAUAGCUGCUCCCAUCAGUGAACCAGGUCAGCACUUCUCCAGUCAGCGGUAUGUCUGUAAGGUCCUUGCGGACCCGUCUCCUCAAUCAAUAGUUGAUGGCAAUCAUGAGUCAAUGGUUCAUCAGUCUCUUCAGGCAGAAGAGUGGCAGGGUUGAGAGCAGCUGGUAGAGUGAACGUGAUCCUCUCUGUGAGAAGCAGGCUUUGAUAGUGGGUCAUGCGGGCGUUGGUCAUCCAUCGGUCUGGGGGCUGCCGGACAAUGUUCUCCAACGCAUGGGGGGCUAUUACAGUUAUAUUCUGUCCCAAAGUCAAUUUGUCAGCGUCCUUGACCAGUAUGGCCACUGCUGCGAUAGCCUUCAGGCAUAUGGGCCAACCACUGGCUACAGGAUCGAGCUUCUUUGACAGGUAGGCAACAGGUCUCCUCCAUGGUCCUAGGGUUUGGGUUAAAACUCCCCGGGCUACCCCCUUACGUUCAUCCACAUAAAGGGUAAAGGGUUUAGUUACAUCAGGGAGGGCCAGAGCAGGUGUGCUCAGCAGGGCCUUUUUGAUAGCAUCAAAUGCCUUCUGGUGCUCAGGAGCCCAGGAGAACUCCCCUUUUUCUUUGGUUAGCGGGUAGAGUGGGGCUGCUAAGGUCGCAAACCCCGGGAUCCACAGUCUGCAAAAUCCAGCUGUCCCCAAAAACUCUCUCACUUGUUUGGCUGUGGUUGGGGCCGGUAUCUGGACUACAGUUCUCUUCCGUGCCUCCGUCAGCCAUCGCUGCCCGCCCCGCAAACUGUACCCCAAGUAUGUUACCUCUCUCCUGCAAAUCUGGGCCUUCUUAGCGGAGGCUCUGUAGCCUAGGUCAGACAAUUCCAGCAGUAGUGCCUUCGUACCUUCUAAGCAGUCCUGUUUGGUGGCUCCCGCCAGAAGCAGGUCAUCCACGUACUGGAGGAGGGUCACCUGAGGGUGUUGGAUCCUGAAGUUGGCCAGGUCUCUGUGUAGGGCUUCGUCAAAGAUGGUCGGGGAGUUCUUGAACCCUUGGGGCAGUCGGGUCCAGGUGAGCUGCCCGGUUCUUCCCGUACCUGGAUCUCUCCAUUCGAAGGCAAAAAGUGGUUGGCUAGUGGGGUGUAAUCUCAGGCAGAAGAAGGCAUCUUUUAAGUCCAAUACUGUGUACCAGUUCCGUUCAGGCGGGAGGGCGCUCAAGAGGUUAUAAGGGUUCGGGACCGUUGGGUGUAUGUCCUGCACCCUUUUAUUGACCUCUCUCAAGUCCUGUACUGGUCGAUAAUCAUUGGUCCCAGGCUUCCUAACCGGUAGCAGGGGAGUAUUCCAAGGGGAUUGGACAGGAACUAGGAUGCCCUGUUGGAUUAAUCUUUGAACAUGCGGCCAAAUUCCUUCUCGAGCCUCUCUACUCAAGGGGUACUGUCUGACUGAUACUGGUGUAGCACUGGCCUUCAGUUGAAUAACCUGUGGGGGAACUUGCUUUGCCAAACCCAUCCCUGCGGUUUCUGCCCAGGCUUGGGGAAACUGCUCCAACCAGGACUGUAUAUCUUGAUCAGGCUUUACUAGGGGAGAAUAUAGUCGAUAUUCAUCAUCUAAUUGGAGGGUCAACACAGUGAUGGGUUUGUUAUUCGCAGACACUUCUGGUUUUCCUUGUUCAAAAUAAAUUUGAGCUCCCAUCUUGGUCAGUAACUCUCCACCUAGGAGGGGUAUUGGGCACUCAGGGAUGACGAGAAACGAGUGGGUUACCCGUCCCACUCCCAAGUCAACGGUUCUUCGGGUAGUCCAUGGAUACUGCCGUUGCCCUGUGGCACCCAUCACCCAGAAUUUUUUAUCUUUUAGUUUUCCUAAUGGCUGUAGCAGCACUGAAUGCUCCGCUCCGGUAUCAACCAGGAACUCAACUGGUUGCCCCUCCACCUUCAAAGUUACCCUGGGCUCGGGGAGGGGGUCCGAACCCCGUCUCCCCUAAUCUUUAUCUUCUUCCAGAGCUAGGACCUUCGGUCCUUUGUUUCCCUUCUUGGGGCAGUCCCUUGCCCAGUGUCCUUUUUCUUUACAAUACGCACACUGGUCCUUGUCGAGUGGGGUCCUAUUGCCCAGAUUCCCUGACUGUCUAGGGCCUGACCUAAUUUUCCUAAAAUCUCUCUCUCUCUCCCUGCUGCUCUUCCCUUCAACCACUGAGGCCAAGAUCUUAGUCAAAUUCUUCUCUUGCUGUCUAUCACAUCUUUCCUCCCUUUCUUCUUUCUCCUUUUCUUUUCUCUGUUCCUUCUCCUCUUCUGUCUCCCUUCUGUAAUACACCUUCUCUGCCUCUUUCACUAGAUCACGUAACUCAGCCUCCUGUAACCCUUCCAGUCUCUGAAGUUUCUUUCUGAUAUCCAGAGCCGACUGCCCUAUGAAGGCCAGGGCCACUGAGGCUUUCUGGGCCUCCGAGGUAGGAUCAAAAGGGGUGAACCGCCUGAAGGCUUCCAUGAGCCUCUCAAGAAAUACCGAGGGAGGUUCGUUCGGUCCCUGCAUCACCUCUCUUACCUUAGCCAAAUUAGUGGGCCGUCUUGAGGCGCCCCGGAGACCCGCCACCAGAGCCUGGCGAUAGAUUUUCAAGCUCUCCCUACCUUCAGCCGUGUUGUAGUCCCAACCGGGGCGAGUCAAGGGAAAUCCCAUGUCAAUCUCAUUUUGCAACUGCGUGGGUCGCCCGUCGGCCCCAGGAACAUUUUUUCUAGCCUCUAACAGAAUUCUCUCUCGCUCCUCGGUUGUGAAGAGUGUCUGCAGCAGCUGUUGACAAUCAUCCCAAGUAGGCUGGUGAGAGAACAUAAGGGACUCCACCAACCCCGUGAGGCGUUGGGGAUCCUCCGAGAAAGGGGGAUGGUUAGUUUUCCAAUUAUAGAGAUCUGCAGAAGAAAAGGGCCAAUACUGGAGGGGCUGCAAUUGGCCCCCCGGCAUGGGAGGGCCAUAGGUGCGCAGCGGUAAUAUCGCGAUCUCGUCUGUCCGCUCCGGGGUGGCGCCUCUCCGGCUCCGAGUCCCGGCAGCAGGUCCCUCCACCACCGGAGCUCCAGGAGGGGCAGAGGGUCCCCUCACAGCACCCUGUGCUGGAUAAGGGGGUGGGGGAACAGGUUGGGGUUCCGGCCAAGUCGGCGGCUCCUCGAUCUCGGGGUAGAUACGAGGAGAGGGCUCGACUUUUUCGGCCGAGUGUUUGUUUUUCUCUCCAAGAGCCAGGAUUCGGGGACCUGGCUUUCUUGGUUUAUUUAGCCAUGGUUUAACCCAUGGCGGAGGAUCUUCUGCCAAAUCUUGCCACGUAAGGAUAUAGGGCUCCUGAUCAGGAUGAGAGCUGGGUCCAGUCUGAAAAAUGAUUGCCUUAACAGCCAGGAUAAUUUCAGAAUUAAAGGUCCCCUCUGAUGGCCAUCCAACAUCGAAUGUUGGCCAUUCAGAGGCACAGAAAGUCUGCCAAGGUCCCUUCUUAACCUGAACUGACAAAUUAUGAGCCCUGGAUCUAACUUCAGUCCAAUGGUCGAGAGUCAAACUAAGGGGGGUCGUCACUGUCUGUCCCAUAUUAAAACUGUAGACAAGGACGCACAAGACAAAGACACACGAAACAGAAACCAACAGAUCCAGACACACGCGACCC